rnacentral:tRNA from 1 species
GGAGAGAUGUCCGAGUGGUUUAAGGAGCCGGUCUUGAAAACCGGUGACCCGGCAACGGGCCGUGGGUUCGAAUCCCACUCUCUCCGCCA